ACUCUCGGCAACGGAUAUCUCGGCUCUCGCAUCGAUGAAGAACGUAGCGAAAUGCGAUACUUGGUGUGAAUUGCAGAAUCCCGUGAACCAUCGAGUCUUUGAACGCAAGUUGCGCCCAAAGCCUUUAGGCCAAGGGCACGUCUGCCUGGGCGU
rnacentral:rRNA from 1 species